UACGUAGGCAGCGAGCGUUGUUCGGAAUUACUGGGCGUAAAGAGUGUGUAGGCGGUGCUCUAAGUUCGGUGUGAAAUCUCCUGGCUCAACUGGGAGGGUGCGCCGGAAACUGGAGUGCUUGAGCGUGGGAGAGGAAAGCGGAAUUCCUGGUGUAGCGGUGAAAUGCGUAGAUAUCUGGAGGAACACCGGUGGCGAAGGCGGCAUCCUGGACCGACACUGACGCUGAGGAGCGAAAGCCAGGGGAGCAAACGGG
rnacentral:rRNA from 1 species